CAGUAGCCACGGUAAUGCGGAGGGUGCAAGCGUUAAUCGGAACUACUGGGCGUAAAGCGUGCGUAGGCGGUUCGUUAAGUCUGUUGUGAAAGCCCCGGGCUCAACCUGGGAAUGGCAAUGGAUACUGGCGAGCUAGAGUGUGUCAGAGGAUGGUGGAAUUCCCGGUGUAGCGGUGGAAUGCGUAGAGAUCGGGAGGAACAUCAGUGGCGAGGGCGGCCAUCUGGGACAACACUGACGCUGAGGCACGAAAGCGUGGGGAGCAAACAGGAUUAGAUACCCGCGUAGUCCCUGUCUCUUAUAC
rnacentral:rRNA from 1 species